rnacentral:lncRNA from 1 species
UACUUCUCUUUCUCUCCACCCGUUUCUUUUUUUGCUUUCUCACCCAAGAUCCUUUUUUGCUCUCUCACCCAAGAUCUCUUUUUGCUCUCUCACCCAAGAUCUCCCCCUUCCUCACUCACCCAAACCGGCGGCACUAAGAAAAAGCCCCCUGCCCUCUUUCUUUCUUCCCCUUUUUUUUGUUUGUGGCUUCUCCCUUUUGCUGGAAA